AUUGAACGCUGGCGGCAGGCCUAACACAUGCAAGUCGAGCGGAGCGGCGGGCGGGUGGGUAAUGCUUAGGAAUCUGCCUAUUAGUGGGGGACAACAUCUCGCAAGGGAUGCUAAUACCGCCUACUAAUCGAUGAGCCUAAGUCGGAAUAGCUAGUUGGUGGGGGAAAGGCCUACCAAGGCGACGAUCUGUCGCGGGUCUGAGAGGAUGAACCGCCAGACGUGGAAUGGAAAAAGGCCCAAGACCCUGCGGGAGGGCGGCGUUGGGAAAAAUGGCAAAAGGGGGGAAACCUGAACCAGCCAGGCCGCGGGUGUGAAGAAGGCCCUAUGGUUGUAAAGCUCUUUAAACGAGGAGGCGUUACUCGCAGAAUAAGCACCGGCUAACUCCGUGCCAGCAGCCGCGGUAAUUC
rnacentral:rRNA from 1 species